UACGUAGGGGGCAAGCGUUGUCCGGAUUUAUUGGGCGUAAAGAGCGUGUAGGCGGCUUGGUAGGUCCGCUGUGAAAACUCGAGGCUCAACCUCGAGAUGUCGGCGGAAACCACUUGGCUAGAGUCCGGAAGAGGAGAGUGGAAUUCCCGGUGUAGCGGUGAAAUGCGCAGAUAUCGGGAAGAACACCUAUGGCGAAGGCAGCUCUCUGGGACGGUACUGGCGCUGAGACGCGAAAGCGUGGGGAGCGAACAGG
rnacentral:rRNA from 1 species